GGGAGCGGGCGAGCCCAGGGCGUCCACCAGCCGUGUGGGGUUGGGGUGGGGUUGGGGGGCAGGGCGACCUCACAGAGGCCCUCGGGGCCGCCGCCCGCCUUUCUGCGCCGCCGCCAGACCGAGGCCCGAAGCCCGAGGGGCCGCUCGCUGAGGCCCGGGCUGUGGAGAGCUGCCCGCGACCGAGGCCGAGGGCGGGGAGGGGCGCCCGGGCUCUGGGAACAAAGCUGUGUGGAGGGCGGGCUGCGCUCCCUCGCGCCUGGGCGCCCGCAUUCCGUGUGGUGCGUUCCGUGGGGGGUUCCCUGGGGGCGGGGUGUGCCCGUGGGUGCGGCCCGUUUUGUCUGUGGGAUGCGUGUCCAUGUUCCCAGGGGGGUGUCCCUAAGGGGUGUGCGGCGGUGUGUUCGUGGGGUGUGCCUGGCCGUACCCCCCCUCCUGUGCGUGUGGCCGUGUGCCCGUGUCCCUGGUGUGUGUGUGGCCGUGCUCCCUGCCCGUGUCCCUGGUGUGUGUGUGGCCGUGCUCCCUGCCCGUGUCCCUGGUGUGUGUGUGGCCUGUGCCCUGCCCAUGGCCGCGCUUCCACUAGUUCAUGUGAGUCCACUUCCUUUGGAAAGUGCCAGGGCGUCUGGGGAAGAGUCAGUUCUAUCUCCUGGGAAGGAACACUGAGCACACUUUUCUUAUGUUUUUGAACUUUUAAAGCACUCUUUGGGUAUUGGGACUCACAUGAAUCAGAGGGACAGAGCUUACCAGGUCUUUCGUGCCAUUUGAGCAGUAAACUUGCAUUGUGAA